rnacentral:rRNA from 1 species
GACGAACGCUGGCGGCGUGCUUAACACAUGCAAGUCGAACGAUGAAGCCGGAGCUUGCUCUGGUGAAUUAGUGGCGAACGGGUGAGUAACACGUGAGUAACCUGCCCUUGACUCUGGGAUAACUGCGGGAAACUGUAGCUAAUACCGGAUACGACCCUCGGAGGCAUCUCCUGGGGGUGGAAAGAAUUUCGGUCAAGGAUGGACUCGCGGCCUAUCAGCUAGUUGGUGAGGUAAAGGCUCACCAAGGCGACGACGGGUAGCCGGCGUGAGAGGGUGACCGGCCACACUGGGACGGAGACACGGCCCAGACUGCUGCGGGAGGCAGCAGUGGAGAAUAUUGCACAAUGAGCGCAAGCCUGAUGCAGCAACGCCGCGUGAGGGAUGACGGCCUUCGGGUUGUAAAACUCUUUUAGCAGGGAAGAAGCGAAAGUGACGGUACCUGCAGAAAAAGCACCGACUAACUACGUGCCAGCCGCCGCCGUAA